AACCCAUGUUGAAGACAUUUCCGCAGGAGAUAAUUGAACCUUUCCUAUGGCUCAAAUAGAGACUCCAAUUCCAUUUGUAUAAAAGAAGAGAUCUCAUUCCUAAGCUC